rnacentral:rRNA from 1 species
GUCUAUGGCCAUACUAUUCUGAAUGUGCCUGAUCUCAUCUGAUAUCAGACACUAAGCAGAGUUAGGCCUGGUUAGUACUUGGAUGGGAAAAAAUAUCAUUGAAU